rnacentral:lncRNA from 1 species
GAGCAGUGCCUCUGUUGAAGCGGAUUGUUCGUACAGAAGCCCCACAAUGGAGUAGUGCAAUUCAGCUGUUGAGAACAUUGCCUGUAUGACAUUGAUGAAGAAAAUGGCCAUUCAUCGCCAACAAACAUUAUAAACUGCACUUAGGGCCUGUUUGGUUUGAUGGCUAACUUGCCACACUUUGCCUAACUUUUGUGCCUAAGGUUAGUUCUUCAAUUCGAACGACUAACCUUAGGCAAAGUGUGGCACAUUUAGCCACGAACCAAACAGCCCCUUAGUGCAUGCACAGGUACAUUGUUAAGAUUUCAUCAGUGUCUACACGAUCAGUUUGUUCCAAAUGCCUCUGCGAUUAUGAUUCUUUGAGGUUGUUAAUCACUAGGGAUGCUAGUCACCGUAUC